rnacentral:rRNA from 1 species
UACGAAGGGUCCAAGCGUUGUUCGGAAUCAUUGGGCGUAAAGCGCGCGCAGGCGGAUCAGCAAGUCAGAUGUGAAAUCUCGAAGCUCAACUUCGAAACUGCGUCUGAAACUGCUAGUCUAGAGUGUCGGAGGGGGUAGGGGAAUUUCACGUGUAGGGGUAAAAUCCGUAGAGAUGUGAAGGAACACCGGGGGCGAAGGCGCCUACCUGGACGACUACUGACGCUGAGGCGCGAAAGCGUGGGGGAGCAAACAGG